rnacentral:rRNA from 1 species
CCUACGGGUGGCAGCAGUGGGGAAUAUUGCACAAUGGGGGAAACGCUGAUGCAGCGACGCCGCGUGAGUGAAGACGUAUUUCGGUAUGUUACGCUCUAUCAGCAGGGAAGAAAAUGACGCUACCUGAUUCAUAAGCCCCGGCGAACUACGUGCCAGCUGCCGCGGUAGUACGUAGGGGGCAAGCGUUAUCCGGAUUUACUGGGUGUUAAGGGGGCGUAGACGGUGAUGCAAGUCAGAAGUGAAAGCUCGGGGCUCAACUCCGGGACUGCUUUGGAAACUGUGUGACUGGAGUGCAGGAGAGGUAAGCGGAAGUCCGGGUGUAGCGGUGAAAUGCGUAGAUAGCAGGAGGAACACCAGUGGCGAAGGCGGCUUACUGGACUGUAACUGACGUUGAGGCUCGAAAGCGUGGGGAGCAAACAGGAUUAGAUACCCCGGUAGUC